GCCUGGGGAAAGUGGGUAGAAGCUAGGGUGGAGAUACCCAGUGGUGAGGGGAGUCCAGACCUGACUUGGUCACAGAUAGGGUGGCCUCAGGUGGGAGCUUCCAGUAAGCAUGGCUUCUGGGUGGCGUUCCCACCCCUGUUACUGGCCCUGCAGUUGGCGCGAUACCCUGACCUGGAGAACAUGGGUCUCAGGGCGCAGGCCAGGCCUGCAUCUCCUGGCUCCUGAAGCUCAGCUGAGGCCAAGGUGCAGGGGCCAGGGCCUCUGAACACUCAGGGCAACAGACAGAGAGAGAGAGAGCCAGGAAGAGGCCCCAUGGCUGGGGAGGCAGGCCCGGGACGGGGCCACGGCAGAGUCAGCAGGGACUCUGCAGCCCAGAAGACACCAGCCUGAUACCCAAGAGGGCCCGCACAGGCAGGGGUGAUCUUCACACUGAAGGCUCACUGCCCCCGCAGGCUGCCUCUGGGCAGUAAGGAGGGGUGGAGGGACAGAGGUCCCCAGGCCAGUGAGGCGGCCCCAUCUCCAGGGAGCCAGUCCAGGGCCUGAUGAGCAGGCAGGCGGCACAGCACAGCCCACGGACUGCUGGGAGGUGGAGGCGACUGCACCCCAGAUUCUGAAAUCCAGGUCAGCGCUGGGGAGCAGAGGGAGAGGCUGGGAGGAGGAGCUGCCUGAGCAGAAGCUGGGAGGCUGGCUGGGUGCAGGCCCAGGAGGCCCGGGCAUGAGGCUGGAGGAAGUUCAGACCAUGAUGGGGGCGAGGGCGGCUUCAAAUGCCAGGCUGUGGGGAGCCACGGAAGGGUUUAAAGCAGGAGAGUGACCUGAUUGACUGGUACCUCCUGAAGGUCAAGAAUGACUUGGGAAGCUGCUGAAGCAGGAUUCAGGGAGCAGGGGGCAGAGGGAACACCAGGGGGGCCUCGAUGGGCUUUGGGACGAGGUGGUCAGGCAGGGUGGCUGGGUUUCAAGCGUCUGCCUCUGUUACCUCC
rnacentral:lncRNA from 1 species